rnacentral:rRNA from 1 species
GAUGAACGCUGGCGGCGUGCCUAAUACAUGCAAGUAGAACGCAGUUGCGGACGGGUGAGUAACACGUAGGUAACCUGUCGCAUAGCGGGGGGUAACGAUUGGAAACGAUAUAUAAUACCCCAUACUGAGAGAUGGAUAUGCGUUGUAUUAGCUAGUUGGUGAGGUAAAGGCGCACCAAGGCGACGAUCCAUAGCCGACCUGGGAGGGUGAGCGGCCACACUGGGACUGAGACACGGCCCAGACUCCUACGGGAGGCAGCAGUAGGGAAUCUUCGGCAAUGGACGAAAGUCUGACCGAGCAACGCCGCGUGAGUGAAGAAGGUUUUCGGAUCGUAAAACUCUGUUGUUAGAGAAGCGGUAUCUAACCAGAAAGCCACGGCUAACUACGUGCCAGCAGCCGCGGUAAUUC